rnacentral:rRNA from 1 species
AUUGAACGCUGGCGGCAGGCCUAACACAUGCAAGUCGAGCGGAGCGGCGGACGGGUGAGUAAUGCCUAGGAAUCUGCCUGGUAGUGGGGGAUAACGUCCGGAAACGGGCGCUAAUACCGCAUACUAUCAGAUCAGCCUAGGUCGGAUUAGCUAGUUGGUGGGGUAAAGGCCUACCAAGGCGACGAUCCGUAGCUGGUCUGAGAGGCUGAUCAGUCACACUGGAACUGAGACACGGUCCAGACUCCUACGGGAGGCAGCAGUGGGGAAUAUUGGACAAUGGGCGAAAGCCUGAUGCAGCCACGCCGCGUGUGUGAAGAAGGUCUUCGGGUUGUAAAGUACUUUUGGCGGGGAGGCGUUACUCACAGAGGAAGCACCGGCUAACUCCGUGCCAGCAGCCGCGGUAAUUC